AGGAAGCGCGCAGGCUGGAGGAGAGGCAGAAACUGGAGCACCGAGGAUGAAAGCGGACUCAUCCGUGAGCGGCGGCGCUGAUUCUCACCGAGGGCCCGACGUGAAUGCAGAAAAAUGAGUCUGGAAAAUUCAGCGAGCUAAAGUUGGGGACAUUUGCCUCCAGAGUUCGCUUUGCUUGUGAAGCAGAUAUCACGCCAGCAUCAUGUCGGGCUACAGCAUCAGAGAGUGUGAGAGAGGGGGUCUGUUUUUGUCUUUGGUUAUCUAGCUGUAUGAGUGUUAAAUACCUGUCAUAAAGCUAGAUAACCGAAAGUAGAAAUGACUUCCGUAGCCGUGUGUGCGUACCCGAAAGAAAAGGGCGCUCUGGCUUUAGAGUCACCAAGUUGGAUUUUGAAGUUCACCUCCAACAGGCUUCUGAAUAACACUGAAAGCUGUGGGAUUCCUGAAAGGAUCCACCAUUAGAAGAAAAUAAAAAGAAAGGACCUCCCCUCUCCCACCUUCACCCCUUUUUUGCCCGAGAGCCUCUGAUGCCAUCUGCACUGCCAAUGUGGGCGCUUGGCCUGUGCCAGGAGGGGGACAAAGACCCUGCCGGAUACCCUGCUGGAGUAAGGGCUUGCACAGAGGAGCCAUCUUGGGAGAUGUUUGCCGUGACACCUAAAAUGGCUGGGCUGGCACACGAGGAUGGGACAGGACCUGCAUCUCUGCACUCUGUAGGACUCUGAAGCCAUGGAAGAAAACUCAUCAGACUGUUGUCCUAACAGAAUAUAAAAUUUAACGAAACUGAAACCUGAGUGUAUCAUCGAAAUAAAGUAGAAACAGCAGGUUUACUAUGAAACACAUUCUUCAAGAUCAAGGCCUCGGUUAAGCAAAAACAACAAAACCCUAUUUUAAGACAUUGUGAAUGUAAUGCCAUAUAUGAUUUGACAUGUUUAUACUGAUGUCUUUGUUUAAAAACUGUUAAUAAAUCACUUUUUUCCCCACUAAAUUAUGUUUGUAGAUUUUCACAGUAAAUGCCUGCUUUUUUAAAUUAAUUAAAUAUUUUAUUUUAAUAUGUCUAAAGUGUAUUUUUUAAUAAAUAUAGAUUAUUUUAUUAUUAAUAUCUUGUCAGUAACAGCUACUUAAAUAAUAUAAUAAAAUAAUAUGAAAACAUUACCCCUGUGUUUGACUCUUGUUUUCGAGCAACACCGUGCUUUAUUUUGGUGAUCCGAUAGGCGAGGAAGGACCAUAUUGUGAGGCUGGAUUAUUACAGAGCUGGGAAAAUAAAACACGAAACACACACAUAUUUAUAAUGUCCCUCUCUCUCUUUCUCUCGCUCGCUCUCUCUCUCUCGUGAGAAGGUGUUUGAGUGACCCCGCAUUAAGUUUUAAUUAGGAGGAGCAGACAAAGCACCGUGUGUGGGAAUGAAAAGUUCAUCAGCCGAAAACCUCAGUUGCCAAAACGACCCUGUCCGCUAUUAAACACGAUGUAAUAAUAAUA